rnacentral:rRNA from 1 species
UACGUAGGGUGCAAGCGUUAAUCGGAAUUACUGGGCGUAAAGCGUGCGCAGGCGGUCUUGCAAGACAGAUGUGAAAUCCCCGGGCUUAACCUGGGAACUGCAUUUGUGACUGCAAGGCUGGAGUGCGGCAGAGGGGGAUGGAAUUCCGCGUGUAGCAGUGAAAUGCGUAGAUAUGACAUAGAACACCAAUUGCGAAGGCAGCUCACUACGGAUGUAUUGACACUGAGGCACGAAAGCGUGGGGAUCAAACAGG